GAUUUCUGGUUCGGCGCACUUGGCCCGUCUCGGUUUACGGGAUUGCGUGCCGGUGUGCGCCAUCCAUCCUUCGAGAGAACACUCUUACCCUUUACUGGGCCGAGAGUGCUAUCUCGAUCUUUUACUUUGAAAAAAUUAGAGUGUUUCAAGCAGGCUUUAUGCUAUGAAUACAUUAGCAUGGAAUAAUAAUUUAGGACUUCGGUUCUAUUUUGUUGGUUUCUAGGACUGAAGUAAUGAUUGAUAGGGAUAGUUGGGGGUGCUAGUAUUCAGCGGCCAGAGGUGAAAUUCUCGGAUUCGCUGAAGACUAACUUAUGCGAAAGCAUU
rnacentral:rRNA from 1 species